rnacentral:rRNA from 1 species
UACGUAGGGAGCAAGCGUUGUUCGGAAUUACUGGGCGUAAAGGGUGUGUAGGCGGCUCUCCAAGUCUGACGUGAAAUCCCCCGGCUUAACUGGGAGGGUGCAUUAGAAACUGGAAUGCUAGAGGAUGGGAGAGGUAAGCGGAAUUCCUGGUGUAGCGGUGAAAUGCGUAGAUAUCAGGAGGAACACCUGUGGUGUAGACAGCUUACUGGACCAUUUCUGACGCUGAGACACGAAAGCGUGGGUAGCAAACAGG